UGGACGCAGCAGUGCAGAUGAGGUGUCACCAGAGCAGAGCAGAGAAGCAGAAUCCUCUCCCUCUGGUGAGACCCCACCUGCAGACUUUGCUGGCCACACUGCUUUGGAUGCAGUGUGCAGGCUACUGAGCACUGGCCUGUCUUAUGACUGUCUCCCACAGUUCCCUUACUUGGCAGCACAGAUCCUCAAUAAGUGCCCAUGUCCUGCCCGCUUUGAGACUGUCUCCCACUUCACUAGCCUGGUGAGGGGUUCCAGGCAUGCCCUGUAGCCUGAGACCUGCAGAGAGGCAUCCUCCUUCCAGAGCAAAGUAUUAACACCAAUCUGUGUGUGUGAACUUCAGUGGUUAUUCCAGAAUUUUCUAACGAACACUUCAAUUUAGAGAGCAAUUGCUUUGCCAUCAGAGAAGCUUUUGUGGCCAGAAGGAUCAAUGCAGGGAUGGAUUAAGAUACUUUCCCAGCAUGGAAAAGGAGCAUCCAGGUGGAUGAAAGCUGCUCUCCACGCACUGAGUUUUCUGAGGCAGUUGUAGGCCUGCAAGACAUUGCUGAGCUGGGGGAAGGUGAUGAGUAAUUGCCUUUGCACCAUUGUCCUGCUGGGGAAGAAGGAUUGUGUGGUGCUUAGCAGCUGACCAGGGUCAACUCAUAGCAAUUAGAUACAGAAAUACCGUGGAUGGCAGUGCCAAAAGCCUUGCUGAAGUUAAGAUGAUAUUGAGACAUGUCCUCAGGAGCAGAAGAACACAACCAAAAAAUUAAGAAGAGAAAAACUACUUGGGUUCUUUCUCUGACCCACUCAGGCAAAAU